rnacentral:lncRNA from 1 species
AUAGUUGUAAAUAGCCAAAAAUGGUCAUAGUCAAAGGUCUUCAGUGGAUCACUAUGUAUGUCUCUGGGAACAUUCGCAAUAUUUGCUAGUGUUGCUUAUUGUUGUCUUCGAAAAUACUGCUUCUGUUUCCUAAAGAAAAGAAGACCUAGAAGGCAUUCAAGGAACUAGAACAACUUGGAGUCGGGAGGGGUGAAGACAGUAAGGCAGAGAGGUUACACAGCAUGCCCAUGUCACACAGCUUGUGGAAGUACCUGAGCAAGAAUUUGAUUUGGAGGACGCUGACUCCAGAGAGGACCUGUGCUCUGAACCACUCCGCCAUCCUGCCCGUCUGAAUCCUUUAUUCCGAAAGAGCCACCCUGUUGCU